rnacentral:tRNA from 1 species
GCGUCGUUAGCUCAGUUGGUAGAGCAACAGCCUUUUAAGCUGAUGGUCGCUGGUUCGAUUCCAGCACGACGCA